rnacentral:rRNA from 1 species
AUACGGAGGGGGCUAGCGUUGUUCGGAAUUACUGGGCGUAAAGCGCGCGUAGGCGGACCAGUCAGUCAGGGGUGAAAUCCCGGGGCUCAACCCCGGAACUGCCUUUGAUACUGCUGGUCUUGAGUUCGAGAGAGGUGAGUGGAAUUCCGAGUGUAGAGGUGAAAUUCGUAGAUAUUCGGAGGAACACCAGUGGCGAAGGCGGCUCACUGGCUCGAUACUAACGCUGAGGUGCGAAAGCGUGGGGAGCAAACAGGAUUAGAAACCCCAGUAGUCC